UCUCAUGAGAUCUGACAGUUUUAUAAGGGACUUUUGCCAUUUUGCUUGGUACUUCUCCUUGCUGCCACCAUGUGAAGAAGGACAUAUUUGCUUUCCCUUCUGCCAUGAUUUCUUCAACAAACCAGAAGACUCAUUAGGAUCCAUAAUAGCUGCCAGUGUAGAGGAGCCUCAGUUACUUUCACUUUGAUCAUUAUCCCUGGGAGAAGAAGCCAACAGCUCCUGGUGACCACAAUAAGAGAUUUCAUUUUUACCUCUUACGAAGAGCUCAGUGGAACAUUUCUCAUCACCGGCUGUCACAUAAUACUCUGAAUCAUCUGUCAUCUGACAGUUAUUGAUAAACAGGAUUCUCUGGCAUCCUUUGUGUUCAAAGAUGUAUCUGUUUUGAAUAGGAUGAAAAUAAACAGAGUCUGUGAAUGUGA
rnacentral:lncRNA from 1 species